CCGAGGUAGAGGCGGCUGCGGCAUCGACGGCUCAAGGAAGAAGCUCCGUCUGUCCAAGGACCAGGCGGCCGUGCUUGAGGACAGCUUCCGGGAGCACCCCACUCUCAACCCUCGGCAGAAGGCAGCCUCAGCCGCCCGAGGUAGAGGCGGGCCGGCGGACUCCAGACGGAGCGACGGACAGGCCGGACGGAGCGACGGCCUGAGACAGGAAGCCGGCAAGUGUCUGAGCUCGGUUCGCGAAGAAGACGACCAGAGACAGUGAACCAAGGUUUAAACUAUGAAAAGAAAGAGGGGUGGUAGUGCCGCCAUUGAUUUGAAAUCUUUCUUGCAAAGAGCUGCGGCAAAGAAAAAACCUCUUGAGUCAGAGGUUGUUGCCCCACCUACUAAUGAAAAUCAAAGGCAGAUAGUGGUAUUUUCAAGCGAAGGAUGAGGACAUCAUCAAUUAUUUUCAAGCUAUGAAGGACCGAAAAGUUAUCUUGUAAUUUGUAAGCAUCCUUAUCAAUGCCAUUUAUUGUUUUAGUACCUCUAUUUUCUAUAUGUUGAACAAUUUCAGAAUUCAGAUUAUGAACAAUUUAUGUUGUUAGUACUAAAUCAUGUGCUACUAAUAUGUAUGUUGGGCUGUUAAA